AACGAACGCUGGCGGCAUGCCUAACACAUGCAAGUCGAACGAGACCUUCGGGUCUAGUGGCGCACGGGUGCGUAACGCGUGGGAACCUGCCCUUAGGUUCGGAAUAACUCCCCGAAAGGGGUGCUAAUACCGGAUAAUGUCUUCGGACCAAAGAUUUAUCGCCCUUGGAUGGGCCCGCGUUGGAUUAGCUAGUUGGUAGGGUAAAAGCCUACCAAGGCGACGAUCCAUAGCUGGUCUGAGAGGAUGAUCAGCCACUCUGGGACUGUGACACGGCCCAGACUCCUACGGAAGGCAGCAGUGGGGAAUAUUGGACAAUGGGCUAAUGCAUGAUCCAGCAAUGCCGCGUGAGUGAUGAAGGCCUUAGGGGUGUAAAGCGCUUGUACCCGGGAUGAUAAUGACAUUACCGGGAGAAUAAGCUCCGGCUAACUCCGUG
rnacentral:rRNA from 1 species